GGGAUUGCCCUAGUAACGGCGAGUGAAGCGGCAACAGCUCAAAUUUGAAAUCUGGCUUCGGCCCGAGUUGUAAUUUGUAGAGGAAGCUUUUGGUGAGGCACCUUCUGAGUCCCCUGGAACGGGGCGCCAUAGAGGGUGAGAGCCCCGUAUAGUCGGAUGCCGAUCCAAUGUAAAGCUCCUUCGACGAGUCGAGUAGUUUGGGAAUGCUGCUCAAAAUGGGAGGUAAAUUUCUUCUAAAGCUAAAUACCGGCCAGAGACCGAUAGCGCACAAGUAGAGUGAUCGAAAGAUGAAAAGCACUUUGAAAAGAGGGUUAAAUAGCACGUGAAAUUGUUGAAAGGGAAGCGUUUGUGACCAGACUUGCGCCGUUCCGAUCAUCCGGUGUUCUCACCGGUGCACUCGGGACGGCUCAGGCCAGCAUCGGUUUUGGCGGGGGGACAAAGGUCCUGGGAACGUAGCUCCUCCGGGAGUGUUAUAGCCCAGGGCGUAAUGCCCUCGCCGGGACCGAGGUUCGCGCAUCUGCAAGGAUGCUGGCGUAAUGGUCACCAACGACCCGUCUUGAAACACGGACCAAGGAGUCAAGGUUUUGCGCGAGUGUUUGGGUGUAAAACCCGCACGCGUAAUGAAAGUGAACGUAGGUGAGAGCUUCGGCGCAUCAUCGACCGAUCCUGAUGUAUUCGGAUGGAUUUGAGUAAGAGCGUUAAGCCUUGGACCCGAAAGAUGGUGAACUAUGCUUGGAUAGGGUGAAGCCAGAGGAAACUCUGGUGGAGGCUCGCAGCGGUUCUGACGUGCAAAUCGAUCGUCAAAUCUGAGCAUGGGGGCGAAAGACUAAUCGA
rnacentral:rRNA from 1 species